rnacentral:rRNA from 1 species
GUGCCAGCCGCCGGGUAAUACGGAGGGGGUUAGCGUUGUUCGGAAUUACUGGGCGUAAAGCGCGCGUAGGCGGACAUUUAAGUCAGGGGUGAAAUCCCGGGGCUCAACCCCGGAACUGCCUCUGAUACUGGUAGUCUAGAGUUCGAGAGAGGUGAGUGGAAUUCCGAGUGUAGAGGUGAAAUUCGUAGAUAUUCGGAAGAACACCAGUGGCGAAGGCGGCUCACUGGCUCGAUACUGACGCUGAGGUGCGAAAGUGUGGGUAGCAAACAGGAUUAGAAACCCUAGUAGUCC